rnacentral:tRNA from 1 species
GCCUGGGUGGCUCAGUCGGUUAAGCGUCCGACUUCGGCUCAGGUCAUGAUCUCAUGGUUUGUGGGUUCGAGCCCCGCAUCGGGCU